rnacentral:rRNA from 1 species
ACGUGGAGUAGCAGUACUUUGGGGGCGACCGGGGCCCCGGUGAAUAAAGCGUUUGGCACCUUCCUUUUAAAAGGGAAUUACCCCGGGAAAGUCGGACUUAUUCCCCCUUAAACAAGGGCCCCCCAUGGGGGUUUUUGUUAAAAAAAUUUCCUUAAUGAAGGGGCUGGCUUCCCUUUAGGAAGUGGGGAGGGAACGGGUCACCCAGGCCAACAAGGGUAGGGGAACUGAAAAGGUGGUCCCCCCCCCUGGUACCGGAACCCCGACCCAACUCCUACCGGAGGGCACAAUGGGGAAUUUUGGUCAAUGGGCGGGAACCUGAACCCACCCAGUCCCGUGAAAGAAAAAAGAUCUUUGGGUCCUAAACUUCUUUUUCAGGGGAAUUAAAUGCCAGAACUGGCCCGGUUUGGAUGGACCCCGAAAAUUAGGGUCCGCUUACUCCCUGGCCACCACCCCGGUAAUUCCGAAGAACCCAACGUUUAUCCGAUUUAUUGGGUUUAAAGGGUGCCUAAGGGGUUUGAAUAGUCAACCGUGAAAGUUUGGCGCUUAACUGGUAAAAUGGCGUUGAAACUGGCCGAAUUUAAUGGUAAUGAAGGUGGCCGAAUGGCUGGUGUAACCGUGAAAUGGCUAAAUAUCACCCAAAACUUCCAAUGGCAAAGGAGCUUACUUAGCUUCCACUUGCCCUUAAACCCCAAAGCGUGGGGAUUAAACCAGAAUAAAAUCCCUGGUAGUCCCCCCAUAAACGAAUAUUACCAAGUGGUU